AGCUAGGGGAGCGCGGGGCCCCGGCACCCGGACACCCCGGCCUCACGCCCGCCGCGGCGCUGCGGACCCGGCCCCGCCUGAGCCCUCGCUGGCAGCGGCGAUCGCGAUCGGAGCGCCCACCCGAGCCUUCCCCCCCACGGGCAAGGAAAGUGAAGUGGAAACAAUGUGAAAUUCACCAGCUCUGAAAUCAACAAGCUGCCGGCUCGGGAGCUACGGAGCCAACAGCGGCGUCCCCAUUUAAAGGGACAGCGCACCCGGUGGAGAGAAGAAAUAAAUACUCGAAGAGGUCUGCGCGCCCGGAUCGCUCGCCAGCGUGUGUUCCGCAGACGCGCGAGGUGCGGACGUGUUCUCUCCACACCUCCGCCGCCCCCACUGGGCUCGCCAAGCGCAUUCAAGGAUAAAAGAGUCUUCUCGGCGGCUUCUAAGGGCGUGUCCCCGCGAGGACGUCUGUCUGCGGGCGCGUUUGCAUCUCUACCCCGGGAACCCCGACACCUUUAGAUGGCGAAAGGAACCUACCUGCUUUAAGGAAUAUGAAACCGAUCUUCUCUUUUGAAGGAAAGAGAUGAAAGGAAGAAUGAAGAGAAAGACAAUUACUGAAAGAUGUUCAAGAAUGUCUGAACUUUGUUUAAAAAAUAAUGCAUACAUCCAGAGUUUUGAAGAAUGCCUGAACAGUCCACCGUCUACGGAAGUACUAAGGACAAGAUUUUUAUCCCUGUUCAGAUACUAGAAUCUCUCCUAAAAUAGAGUGAACAACCUCAGGGAUGAUCAUCAGGAGCUCAAUCCCAGAGUACGAAGACUCCAAAGUCACUUUCAGGCAGGUCCAGUCACAAGAAGAAACACCUUGCUGAGCAUCACACAUGGUCCGGAGGUGGAUGAACACUUGCCUCUCUCUGGUGCCCUUUCUAGGACUGUUCCUUCUCUUUAGUUGGUUGGCUGAGUAUUUGGUUUGCACUUUUUUUUUUUCUAAUUUGGGUUGUUAUUUUUCUUUUUCCACUUAUGAAUGUAGGGCUUUCAUUUGUCUCUUACACUACUGCUGGUUUCCAUUGCUGUAAGUAGCAUUUGCCCAGGUAAAACAUUUCCCCUUCAGGUUUAAGACAAAGCUGGUUUCUUCCAAUAAGUAUGAAGGAUGGAAGGAGGGAAUUGAGGUCCCAGGUUCUCAGCAACAAUUUCUCCUUCCGAAAGGUUCUGCUAGCUUGGCCUCAACGCUAUCUCCCCUACCCACCCCUUCCCCCAGUACUGGACUAGAACACAAGGCAUUUGCACCGAGUUACAUUCCCAGAGCUUUUUAAAUUUUAGAAUAGGCUUGCCAAGACACUAACUCUCCCAGGCUGGGCUGGAACUUGCCAUCCUCCUGUUUCAGCCUCCCAGAAUGCUGAAAUUAUAGGUGCGUGCCAUCAUGCCUGGCUAAAGCUAUCAUUUUUUAAAUGGCAGAGAAGGUCUUUGGCUGUCUAAGGAAAACACAAGCCAUUGGCAUUCUUUAAAUGUGUCUAGAGCUAUGUUCCUGAGUUGCUCCCUCAGAAUCACCAACCCUGCCUGCUCUUUGACUUCUGUGGGAAAGGGAAAGAACACCUUCAGUGAAAGACAGCCCGUGACAUUACUGCCUGUGAAGCAGAGGGGAAGGACCUCCAUGUCAGAUGCAGGCAAAUGCAGGAAGGCAGGGUAGGACCCUCUCCACCACUCCCAUCUGCCUCUAUUCCAGGAAGCUCCUUCUGCUCCUGCCAGCUCCACUGGAGCUGUGUUCCAGUGGGCAAAGAAGGAAACAUCUACCUUUUACUAUUCUACUCACUAUCACAUUAAAUAGACUUGGAGUGCUUCCUGCCAUAUACUCUUCUUGGCAUUGGGGUAGAGAAAAACGGAUGAGUUUCCUGCCCUCAAAAAGUCUGAUAAAUGUUAUGUUACAGAUAUUUCACUACAAUUACAAUGCUUGAUGUAAUAUUCAUACACCUUAAAAAGUUUAUCAGCUACAGCAACACAGACAGUAAGCAAGUAAACAAACAAAAGUGAUCAGUACAGGUCGGGAUUGUUACGAAAGAGAUGGGCAUCCGACGGAUGAUGGUGGGAUGUGAGGGAGCAUUGAGAUGGGAAAUAACUGUACCUGGAAGAGUCCUCAAGCUUUUCUAAGGUGGUGACCUGAGGAAGAAGGCAUCAGUUGUGUGAAGUCAAAAUUGUCCCAGGCGGAGCCAGCUGCAUGUUCAAGGGUACUGAGACAAAAAAGAACGUGGGUCUUCCGGUUCACUGUUUGCAGGGCAGUGCUGGGCUUAUUGUCUUCUACACGGGAAUUCCUGGAAGUUAGCACUGCCGCCUCCUCCGUCUCUCCUACAGUGGUGCCGAGCGCAGUCUCUGGCUAACACAGCCAGCAAUUUGGCUGAUUUACUUGGGGAUUUGACUUCAGAACUCUUUGAACUUAAGGUGAGUUCAGAGAAGUUAAGUGAUUUCCAUGGACCCCUUGAUUCCAGUCUUCAAAGCCAAUGCACCAAUUCAAUAUUUUCCUGUUAUUGCAAGUUUUCUUCUUAUUAUAACUAAACCAGAAGUGUCCUUCGGGAAUUCCAUUUCCUUAGUUAUGAAUAGAAGUGACUUAAUUAUUAUAGAUUCAGCCAGGUGACCUGAGGAUAACAGAAACAAAUUGCUGAACUGGGAAAGCAAGAUUGAAAUGCUGUGGUUCCUCUCUGGGUUAGCACUUACCUCUGGCAUGUCUGAUAUUUGAUUGAUAGUUUCAGCUUCCUUCAGUAUUAUAUAUUUUUAUGUGUGGAUGUCUGUACAGAUGUAUGCAUUUAUAACAUAGUAACAGUAACAUACAAUAAACUACACAUAUACAAGACACCUGUGAACUAGCCUCACACACAAAAAUGAAUAUUCACCAUUUUCCAAAUUUUCUUCCUGCCAUGCUGUAAUCUGUCCUUUUUUUGCUCUUCCUCCUUCCAGAGGAAGCUAUUUAUCCACCUUCAGCCCAAGGAUUAAAUGGCACUUUCUAGCAUUUCAUAUAAAUGGAAAUAUACAGUAUGUACUAUUUUUGUUCUGACUUAGUUCUCUGGACAUAUUAUUAUUUAUUUUGAGAUUCAUUCAUGUUGUCUAUAUUCACAGUUCAUUGCUUUUGUUUCAUUGUGUGGAUAACCCAGUUUGGGUUUAUUAAAAAUAAAGUUGCAUCCAGGUGUGGUGAUGCACACCUGCAACCCAGCACUCUGGGAGGCUGAGUCAGGAGGAUCACAAGUUUAAGCCCAGCCCGGGCAACUUAGUGACUUAGCAAGACCCUGUCUCAAAAUAAAAAUUGGGGGGAUAAAGGCUGGGAAUCUAGCUCAACGCAAUGGCCCUGGCUUCAAUCCGCAGUACCACAAACAAACAACAAACUAAUUAAUCAAUAGAUAAAAUUGCUAUGAACAUUUACACAAAUCUUUGCAUAGUAUAUGCUUUGCUUAUUAUGAGUAAUACCUGGCUGGCUCACAUGAUAAAGAACCACCAUGCUUCCUUUCCAAUGGUAUUAUACCAUUUCAAAUUCUUGUAGUGAUGUAUGAAAGUUCAAGUUACUCUCUGCCACAAUUGGCCACUCUGCCACAAUUUGGUAUGCUCAGUCUUUUUAGUAUUAGCAAUUUUAAUAGGUCUGCAGUUGUAUCAGCAGUGGUUCUUUCAAUGAUUUUUAGUUUUUUGAGACAGGGUCUUGCUAUGUAGUUCAGGCUGGCCUUGAACUCACCCUGUAUCACAGGCUGGCCUCAAACUCACAGCACUCCUCCUGCCUCAGCCUCCUGAGGGCUGGGAUUACAGGCAUGUGCCUCCAUGCUCAAUGAUGUUGGACAUUUUUUCCUGAGCUUAUUUGACAUAGGAUAUCUUCUUCCUAAAAUAUGUUUAAAUAAUUUUCCUGUUCAGAUUAUUGGGUUAUUUGAUUUAUUAUUUUUAAGUUUUAAAGUUCUUUAUAUAUUCUGGACAUGAGUCAGUUGUCAGAUAUAUGAUUUGUAAAUAUUUUUUAUUAAACACUGGUUUGUCUGUUCUUUUGCUAGUAUCUUUUAAAGACCAUGACUGGAUUUUGAUGUCUAGUUUAUAAUGCUCUUCUUUUUCAGAACCUGCAUCAUUUGUCAAACCAAAAAAUCUUUGCCUAAA